rnacentral:rRNA from 1 species
UACGGGGGGAGCAAGCGUUGUUCGGAUUUACUGGGCGUAAAGGGCGCGUAGGCGGCCAGUGCAAGUCAGUUGUGAAAUCUCCGAGCUUAACUCGGAAAGGUCAACUGAUACUGCUCGGCUAGAGUGCGGAAGGGGCAACUGGAAUUCUUGGUGUAGCGGUGAAAUGCGUAGAUAUCAAGAGGAACACCUGCGGCGAAGGCGGGUUGCUGGGCCGACACUGACGCUGAUGCGCGAAAGCUAGGGGAGCGAACAGG